rnacentral:lncRNA from 1 species
GGGAGCAGCCUUGCAUGCAUCCUCCAUGCCACUAUCACCAUGUCCGCGAUUGUGCUAGCUAGUACCAUGUUUUAAUCAGAACAAAUUAACUUGAAAUUAGAGAACAGGAGCAUUGAUUCAACAUUCAAGUACAUUUUCUUUCGCUGUCGUCGCGACGGAAACCUGGGAUCCAGAUCUUGGCAAUGGAGCAGUUCGUCGCACGCCGUUGCUUAAACGGCAGGCUAAUGAUCGACGCCGAGGCCGCCAACACCAUUGCAUUGGGCGCCACAAAGCCUCGUUUGCCAGGAGCUAGUGAGCUCUAGGUCCAACUUCAACCUCAUGCAUGGUCUCCCAACAACUCGAUCAAUGCCUGACUCUGAAGCUGCCAUCUACCCUACCUCCCUCCCUCUCUACACCC